UACAGAGGUGGCAAGCGUUGUUCGGAAUUACUGGGCGUAAAGGGCGCGUAGGCGGUCCGAUAAGUCCCGUGUGAAAUCCCUCGGCUCAACCGAGGAACUGCGCUUAAAACUGUGGGACUCGAGGGAGAUAGAGGAAAGCGGAACUGAUGGUGGAGCGGUGAAAUGCGUUGAUAUCAUCAGGAACACCGGUGGCGAAGGCGGCUUUCUGGGUCUUACCUGACGCUGAGGAACGAAAGCCAGGGGAGCGAACGGG
rnacentral:rRNA from 1 species